UAUCUCUGUAGAGUCUGCAUAUCAAUAAGCGGAGGAAAAGAAACUAACAAGGAUUCCCUUAGUAACGGCGAGUGAAGCGGGAAGAGCUCAAAUUUGAAAUCUUAAAGGGUUUCCCUUGACGAAUUGUAGUUUAAAGAAGUGUUUUCUGUUGAGUCUCGAGUAGAAAAGUUCCUUGGAAUAGGGACAUCAUAGAGGGUGAGAAUCCCGUAUUUGACCGUUACUUUCCAGCUGUGUGAUACACUUUCAAAGAGUCGGAUUGUUUGGGAAUGCAGUCCAAGAUGGGUGGUAAAUUUCAUCUAAAGCUAAAUAUUGGCGAGAGACCGAUAGCGAACAAGUACCGUGAGGGAAAGAUGAAAAGAACUUUGAAAAGAGAGUUAAACAGUACGUGAAAUUGUCAAAAGGGAAGCGUUUGACACCAGUGUUGUUUUUCCGAAAAUCAAUUACGAAUGGCUUGAUUUUGUGUUGUAUUGACCUUAUCAGCUUUCUUCACUUUUUUCGAGUCUUUCUUAAUGCACUUUUCGGUUAACAAGUCAACAUCAAUUUCUUUUGUUGUAAAAGAGUAUUCGGAAGGUGGCUUUCUUUUCGGAGAAAGUGUUUAUAGCCCUAUACUUCUACAAUCGGAGAGAUUGAGGUCUGCAGCGUAGAUCCUUCGGGGUUAGAUACACUUGUGCUAAGUUGUAGCUUUUCAUAGACAACUUGUUGACUAUGUUUAGUCUUGCGGCUUACUCGCUUGUGCUAUUUUACCUACGCUUAGGAUGUUGACUGAUAUGUAGUCGUA
rnacentral:rRNA from 1 species